rnacentral:lncRNA from 1 species
GCCCGCAGUGCUGGGCAACGAAAUCGGACAUGACCUGACCCUUAACGGCUUUUGCCGAUUCAUAUCGAAGGUCAAACUGUGACGAAGCCAAGAUCCAUUUGCCGAUCCGUCCUUUCAAAAUCAGUAGUGCCAGCAUGUACUUUACUACGUCGUCCUUGCAUACGACUACACAUUCCGCUGACAGCAAAUAGUGCCUGAGUUUGGUGCAUGAGAAGUAAAGGCAUAGGCACAACCGCUCCACUGGAGGAUACCUUGUUUCGGCGUCCAGAAGUCUUCUACUGACAUAAUAAAUUACUCGUUCCUUUCCCUCGAACUCCUGGACCAGAG